rnacentral:rRNA from 1 species
AUACGGAGGAUGCGAGCGUUAUCCGGAUUUAUUGGGUUUAAAGGGUGCGUAGGCCGAAAUAUAAGUCAGCGGUGAAACGCCGGAGCUCAACUCCGGCCCUGCCGUUGAAACUGUAUUUCUUGAGUAAAUUCGAGGUAAGCGGAAUUCGUAGUGUAGCGGUGAAAUGCAUAGAUAUUACGAGGAACUCCGAUAGCGCAGGCAGCUUACCAGACUUUAACUGACGCUGAGGCACGAAAGUGUGGGUAUCAAACAGGAUUAGAUACCCUGGUAGUCCACACAGUAAACGAUGAUAACUAGUUAUCCGGCGCGAUUGUGUGCUGGGUGACCGAGCGAAAGCGUUAAGUUAUCCACCUGGGGAGUACGCCGGCAACGGUGAAACUCAAAUGAAUUGGCGGGG